rnacentral:lncRNA from 1 species
AUCUAUGGCUCAAUACAUGCCAUGGGCUCAAUUAUGGCUUUCAAAUGCGUGCUAUGGGGCCAGAUCUGUGGGCUCAAUGCAGUGCUAUGGGGCUCAGAUCUAUGGGGCUCAAUGCAGUGCUAUGGGGCUCAGAUCUAUGGGGCUCAAUACAGUGCUAUGGGGCUCAGAUCUAUGGGGCUCAAUGCAGUGCUAGGGCUCAGGAUCUAUGGGGCUCAAUAAAGAGCUAUGGGGCUCAGAUCUAUGGGGCUCAAUGCAGUGCUAUGGGGCUGAGAUCUAUGGGGCUCAAUACAUUGCUAUGGGGCUCAGAUCUAUGGGGCUCAAUGCAGUGCUAUGGGGCUCAGAUCUAUGGGGCUCAAUGCAGUGCUAUGGGGCUCAGAUCUAUGGGGCUCAAUACAGUGCUAUGGGGCUCAAUGAAUGGGGGAACAGCAAUGAAGGGACAUCAAUGGAGGGGACAGCAAUAUGGGGGACACCAAUGAGGGGGACAUCAAUGGAGGGGACAUCAAGGAGAGGGACAUUCAAUGGGGUGGGGCAUCAAUGAGGUGGGGACAUUAGAAACGGGCACCCAAGCAAUGGGGACUGAAUG